CGCGGCCUAUCAGCUUGUUGGUGGGGUAACGGCCUACCAAGGCGACGACGGGUAGCCGGCCUGAGAGGGCGACCGGCCACACUGGGACUGAGACACGGCCCAGACUCCUACGGGAGGCAGCAGUGGGGAAUAUUGCGCAAUGGGCGAAAGCCUGACGCAGCGACGCCGCGUGGGGGAUGAAGGCCUUCGGGUUGUAAACCCCUUUCGGCAGGGACGAAGCGAAAGUGACGGUACCUGCAGAAGAAGCGCCGGCUAACUACGUGCCAGCAGCCGCGGUAACACGUAGGGCGCAAGCGUUGUCCGGAAUCAUUGGGCGUAAAGAGCUCGUAGGUGGUUUGUCACGUCUGCUGUGAAAACUCGGGGCUUAACCCCGAGCUUGCAGUGGAUACGGGCAGACUAGAGGUAGGUAGGGGAGGAUGGAAUUCCCGGUGUAGCGGUGAAAUGCGCAGAUAUCGGGAGGAACACCGGUGGCGAAGGCGGUUCUCUGGGCCUUACCUGACACUGAGGAGCGAAAGCGUGGGGAGCGAACAGGAUUAGAUACCCUGGUAGUCCACGCCGUAAACGUUGGGCGCUAGGUGUGGGGUCCUUCCACGGAUUCCGUGCCGCAGCUAACGCAUUAAGCGCCCCGCCUGGGGAGUACGG
rnacentral:rRNA from 1 species